CGUUUUCUAUUGUUUAUCCAUGGGUUGAAAAGAGCAUUUCAAUUAGACGAAAGAAGUAUCAUGUACUAAAACUUUGCUUAUCUUAACUGAUGUAAAACAUCAUGAAGAUGAUAGAAAGCAGGAUUUUUAAUUUAAAUAAAGCAAAAGUAGUUAGAAAUUUUUCAUUUAAAAAAGAUUAAUUUGUUGGGGAAAAAAUGAGAUAGACCCCUUUUUUUUUGCACUUUCUCAUAGCCUGAAUAAGAGGAUUCCCAUGAUCCAUCUUUUAAAAAUAUUUAAGACAUAACCAAAUUAAAAUAAAAGUUAUGAUUCUGGCACAGAGUUUUAAAAAAUAUUUAGCAAAAUCAAAAACAAGAGAAUUUUCAGACAUCUAAAAUAUUCCUAAACACAGAUGUAAACUAAUGUGAUAAACUAUUUUGAUAAAUUUGAAAGACUGGUCAUUGUUUUAAAAGCAGGCCCGUGAAUUAAAGUUAAUUAAGAUUUGUGCAGUAACAGGCAAACUUAAACUUUGGUAUAUACUCACAUGCUGGGAAAAUAUUUUUUUGUAGGGUCAGAAUGUAAAUAUAAAUAAUUUGUUUAAUCAGGCAAGAACCUGUACUUUGUGUGUGAACUCUUUUCAGUGUUUGGUAAUUGUGUUACGUUGAUAACAUAAGAAAAGGAGACAGACUAACUUUUUAAGCAUAUUAGAAUAUUUGCAACUCAUUCUAUUUUUGGCAAUAAUUCUAUUAGUGCAGCUUACUUCCAUGAACAGUAUAAAAUACAUACGUGAAAAUCAGAUUUUUAAAAGCAGAUUACAAGUGCAAUUAAAUUGUCUAAAAAAACAUUUUAAAUGCUUUGAAGUAUUUUAUGAAAGUAAAAGAAUAAAACAAGUAGUUUCAGAAAUUAUAGAAUCUGUUGUAAAUAUGCAAAUUUGCGCAUUCUAGCUUUGUCACCAAUGCCACAUUUGGGAAAAGAAAUAGAUUGCAAUGUUUGUCUUCUAUUAACAUAUAUAUAUUCUUAAAAGUAUACAAAAUGUUUCCUAAUUUUAAACAUAUUAAUACUGUUACAUAUAAAUAUUUUUUAAAUCUUAGUAUAAAGUUUAGGGUUUUAAAAAAAUAUACUUUAAAAAUUCAUGUGGUGAAAUAGAAUCUAAAAACUUGAGGGAAAAUACUAAAUUUUUUGGUAUAAAUUUGAAGAGUUCAUUUCUAGAAUACAUUUAUUUUCUUCUUAUAAAGACAUUUACAUCAAUAUUAAGUAUAUAGAUUAAGACCUACUUAAAUUACUUAAUUAAAAUAUACUAAACUUCUAAGUUAUUUUUAAAAGAAUGAUGUGGGUAAACUGAAAAGAUCAUAAAAUUAUUUCUAAUGUAAUUUUUACGUAAAGCCCUUUAAUAUAUCAGUUUUUACCUCUUAUAUUUUGAACCGUUAAAAGAAAAAAAAUGACUAAUCUCCUGAUGGAAAAUAUAAUCUUAUAGUACUGAGAAGAGAGUUGUAAGCAUGUAAUAAAUAUAUGAGAUCAGUUUCACUUCUGACUUGUUUUCGAGCCUUUCUUAUGAAUCAUCAUGUAUUUUAACAUCAGGAGAAUAAUACAUAAAAUACGCUUUAAAAUGUUAUAACCUGGUAGCUAUUAAAAAAGAGGAGAAAAAUACAGAGCUUUGCCUAGCAAAAUACUAACUAAAGAGUUCAGAUGCUAAAGUAGUAUAAUAAACUAAAAUUCCAAAUAUAUAUGAAUAUAUAAUUUUUUAUAUCUUGGUAUAUAGCAUUUGUCUUAAUUGUUUAGGAAACUACAUAUUGUACAGGAGUGAAGAAGUAAAUGAAGUAUUUUCUCAUCAUAGUUUACUAGAUAAAAAAUGUACUAAUAAGCUAAAUGUAAUAGUAAGGGGCACAUUUAAAAUAUAAUUUUGUAGAGUCUUACUAAAUACGUAUCUUUCCAACAAGGCUUUAGGUUUUUGCAUGUGUAUUAGUAUUUCUGAGUUUUGUGAUUUGAAAUUCAUGAUACAUUUUGAGUGCCCUUUCAAAAGGCAAAUUGUUUCUGUGGAAAAAUCAGACAUUAUGUACAUUUCAUUUUAUAUUUGGGUGUGAGAAAAAUAGCAGAUAAUUUGGGAGAAUUCUAGUUGUUGCCUUAGUGCAUGCAUCAAAUACUAAACAAUUAUUUUAUCUCUCAGUUAUACGUCUGGGCAUGUUACAGUUUGUACUGUAUGUACAAACAGGAUAUUGAACUUACAUUGAUGAUACAGUGUUCUUUAAACGUGAUUGUUAAUCUUUACUGAAAUUAUGGGCAAACUAUUUCAAAGAAAUGUGUUUUUAAACUCUUAUUUUUAAUUAAAAUGAGAAAAACUUUGAAGGAGUUCAUUUAUGAAUAAAAUAUGUAAUUGUGCAGUCUCCUGAAAGAAUGAACUCUUAGUUUAUUUUUCAAAUUUUAUUAAAAUGUUUCCUUACUUGUUGCUUGUUGGCAUUUUAAAAUUAAAAAGUAAUAAAGCAACAUUAUUAUAUUUCUGAUUAUCUAUCAAGAGAGUGAAAGGGAAACCAAAGUAUAUUGACACAACCCAGGUUUUCCCCUAAAAAAAACUAACUUCAAAUUGAAAAAAUAUAUUGCCCAUAUUUAAUAUUUCUUAUUAGGACUUACUUGGAGUCGCAUAAUUUUUUUGAGACAAUAUAUUGGAGGAAAUUUGUCUUAUAAAAUGGAGAGAUGUAGAACAUUGUGGGCAGUUAUAGGAUAGUCUUUCUCUCUUGUUGCUUCCCAGAACUUAGAAAACAGAUUUUAAAUUAAUAGUGUUGAGUACACGAAUCUCUGGAGUAUAAUAAUUUAGAAAAAUGUUGGAAAAUGAUAAAGUCGAAGGGGAAGAUUAAUUGAAGUGUCCCCUUUUCAAAAGGGAAGCAUUUGACACUAUGAGGAGUGCUCUAGAGAUUAACAAAUGUUUCUCUGUCAGGGAUAAUUUUCUGAGCAGUUGAGGUUGUUUGUGUGAUAAGGGAAGGCGGCUAGAUAGCGUAACUAUAGGUGUUUGAGAAAAUUUCCGAAGUUACUUUCAGAUUGAAAGGGUGAAAGUUGGUGCAACAAUUGGCUGUUGGGAGGGGAAAGGGUGCAGGGCUCGCCAGCCCGGCGCCACUACAGGGUUAACCGCGGCGGCGCCCGGUGCACACUGGGAGUUGUAGGCCGCGGGCAUUGUGGGAGUUGUCGUAAAAGCCUACUUUCUUGCCGUGAUGGCCGCCGCCGAGGCAGGGAGUUGAGGUUUUCUGCCUUUCGGAGGGUUUGGGGGGCUGUCGGUCCCGUUAGAAGGCCACCAACAGCCCCCCAGGUUGCCAAGGGCCUGUUAGUUGUGUUCCUGGAAGAUUUUUAAAAGGAAGCAUAUAAAGCAAAUGAAACACACUCUUAUUAUAUUCUUCUACUUGAGGUAGAAGAAUUCUAAAUUAAAACUUGGAAAAAAGAAUUUUUAUCCGUGCAAAAGAUUUGAGGUAUGUACUAUAGUUUUAUAAAUCAAUAGAAAAAAAUGGAAGGACACAGCCAUGGCUGGGCAAUUCACAAAGGAAAAAAUAAAAAUGGCAAUAAAUAAUUUGGCAGAUUGUGUUUACCAAAGGUGGCCAUAACUGUGUCUCCCGGUUUUACCUAUUCUUCUCUAUUGUGACAAUGUCAUUCUGUCAUCAGAAGGUGGAGUCUUUUCACUUCCUUGAAUCUGAGUGGAUCCUUCGACUGUUUUGACCAAGACUAUGUGGUAGAAGUGAAGUUCCAGUUCCAGGUAUUGCUCUUAUUUCACCAGACAAGUUUGGUUUCCUGCCUUUUGGAAGCUGACCACUAUGUUAGAAAUGUAAUCACCCUGAAAUCACUAUGUCGUGAGAAACCCAAAGGCAAGUGAAGAAGCCCUGGAGGAUGCGACAUCAAGUGUAGAGGCAAAAGAGCACCAAGGAAGAGGCCAAAGAACACUAAGUGAAGAAGCCAUUUUGAAAAUGGAUCCUCCAGCCCCAGCUGCCCUAGUUGUUAUGUAAAUCAGAUAAAUUGCCCAGUGGUACCCUUCCCAAUUUCUGCCCCAUAAAAUCAUGAGCCAAAUAAAAUGGUUUGUUUUAAGCUUCUAA